rnacentral:rRNA from 1 species
GAUGAACGCUGGCGGCGUGCCUAAUACAUGCAAGUCGAGCGAACAGACGCGGCGCUUGCUCCUCUGACGUUAGCGGCGGACGGGUGAGUAACACGUGGAUAACCUACCUAUAAGACUGGGAUAACUUCGGGACACCGGCGCUAAUACCGGAUAAUAUAUUGAACCGCAUUGUUCAAUAGUGAAAGACGGUUUUGCUGUCACUUCUAGAUGGAUCCGCGCCGCAUUAGCUAGUUGGUAAGGUAACGGCUUACCAAGGCAACGAUGCGUAGCCGACCUGAGAGGGUGAUCGGCCACAUUGGAACUGAAACACGGUCAAGACGACUAAGGGAGGCAGCAGUAGGGAAUCUGACGCAAUGGGCGAAAGCAUGACGGAGCAACGCCGAGUGAGUGAUGAAGGUCUUCGGAUCGUAAAACUCUGUUAUUAGGGAAGAACAAAUGUGGAAGUAACUAUGCACGUAUUGACGGUACCGAAUCAGAAAGCAACGGCUAACUACGUG